rnacentral:misc_RNA from 1 species
AACGCACCUUGCACCGUAUGAGCAAUUGUACGGUAUACCUGUUUGAGAAUCGUAAAACUCUCUUUCUACCCUUUAUUGGGUAGAAGAUUUGUCGGUUGUGCACUUGUGCACUCUGAUUAAAGUGAUCAAGUCUGGAUUUGGCUGGUGGCCAAGGACACUGUGUGCUAGAGACGUCGCUUCGGCUGACUGUCUUCUCACAGUGCGUCCUAGGCUAUCCAAAGCUGGCCCUAUCCUAGGCUUCCACAGUGUGGUCCUUGCGGCCUCACAACCCCCUAUUUUUGAUCUCAAAUCAGGUAAGGCUACCCGCUGAACUUAA